rnacentral:rRNA from 1 species
AAAGUUUGACCUCAAAUCAGGUAGGAUUACCCGCUGAACUUAAGCAUAUCAAUAAGCGGAGGAAAAGAAACCAACCGGGAUUGCCUUAGUAACGGCGAGUGAAGCGGCAAAAGCUCAAAUUUGAAAUCUGGCACCUUCGGUGUCCGAGUUGUAAUUUGAAGAAGUAACUUUGGGGCUAGUCCUUGUCUAUGUUCCUUGGAACAGGACGUCAUGGAGGGUGAGAAUCCCGUAUGGCGAGGAGCCUAGUCCUAUGUAAAGUGCUUUCGACGAGUCGAGUUGUUUGGGAAUGCAGCUCUAAGUGGGUGGUAAAUUCCAUCUAAAGCUAAAUAUUGGCGAGAGACCGAUAGCGAACAAGUACAGUGAUGGAAAGAUGAAAAGAACUUUGAAAAGAGAGUGAAAAAGUACGUGAAAUUGUUGAAAGGGAAGGGCAUUUGAUCAGACAUGGUGUUUUGCGACCCUCGCUCCUUGUGGGUGGGGAUCUCGCAGUUCACUGGGCCAACAUCAGUUUUGGCGGCAGGAUAAAUUCUUGGGAAUGUAGCUUGUCUUCGGAGAAGCAUUAUAGCCCAGGAGAAUACUGCCAGCCGGGACUGAGGACUGCGACUUUUGUCAAGGAUGUUGGCAUAAUGGUCAUAUGCCGCCCGUCUUGAAACACGGACC